rnacentral:lncRNA from 14 species
ACCACAUUUUAAGGCACAUAAAUGCGUAUGUAUAAAAUAAUAUGUUGUUUAGGGUGAACAUGGCCUUGCAGGAGAGCCAGGAGACCAAGGGUACCCAGGAGACAAGGGUGCUCUUGGUUUACCAGGACCCCCAGGGAUCAGAGGAAAGGCAGGACCCCCAGGGAAAAUUGGAGAUCCUGGAUCCCAGGGGCCAUUGGGUCCUCCAGGACCUGAGGUAAGAAACUGCUUGAUAGAGGUAAAUUAAAUGUCAU